GACGCGUUCUGUAUAAUGUGAGUUAUCGACUGAAUCGAAAUCGGCCAGUCAAGAUGAUACCUUUAGCUCUCUUUUGAGCAAUAGUCCUAGCCCGUCUUUCCAGCACAAGUUGAUUCCGGAUAUAUCUGCAGUGUCAAUGACGGCUCCAUAGGUAACAGCGGUCCAAUAAACGGAACCGAGCACAACUCCGGCGGCCAGAAAUGGAGAUGCCCGAUACAACAGCCGAUCCACCAAAUCGAGGACGUACACAAAUGUGCCUGUUCGAACGGGAAGAAUAUUAGGUACUCGGUGUUGCACUGAGGACAGCUGACUCGCUGGCUCUGAUUGCCGCGCUGCUUCUCGUCUAU